CCCUAUGGGGUGUAGCAGGCCCAAGGUAGUACGGAGAACGAACAUCAUGUCCGACGAACUACCAGGGUAAGCGCCGCAGGCGCGAAGCAGAACAGCCCAGGGUGGAGGCUGCGUAGCAGCCGGAACCCUGGGUUAUGAACACGCGAAUGAAAGCCCUGUAAGGGCGAUGCAACCCAUUCCGCCGCGUCUAACGACGCUGCAACUUAGAUAAUAUGAAUCCUGUCGAAUUUGCCCUCAUCCUGCUUAUAUCCAUUAUUUGCGGCGCGUUCGCCCAAUUGACGAGCGGAUUCUCCAAAGGCGGCUGGAUCAUUAAUCUAUUAAUCGGCUUCUUCGGCGCACUGGCCGGCGUCUAUCUAAGCCGGGUAUUCAAUGCGCCCGUCCUUUAUAACUUACGCAUUGGCGGGAGGGC
rnacentral:rRNA from 1 species